UACGAAGGGGGCUAGCGUUGCUCGGAAUUACUGGGCGUAAAGCGCACGUAGGCGGCUUUCUAAGUCGGGGGUGAAAUCCUGGAGCUCAACUCCAGAACUGCCUUCGAUACUGGAAAGCUCGAGUCCGGGAGAGGUGAGUGGAACUGCGAGUGUAGAGGUGAAAUUCGUAGAUAUUCGGAAGAACACCAGUGGCGAAGGCGGCUCACUGGACUGGUAUUGACGCUGAGGUGCGAAAGCGUGGGGAGCAAACGGG
rnacentral:rRNA from 1 species